GGCUCGUUGGUCUAGGGGUAUGAUUCUCGCUUUGGGUGCAAGAGGUCCCGGGUUCAAAUCCUGGACGAAGCCC
rnacentral:tRNA from 1 species